rnacentral:rRNA from 1 species
UGGUAGACCCGGUCUAAGCGUGUAGGGCGAUCCGUUGGCAAAUCCGCGGAUCAUGAGCCUGAGACGUGACGGGACCCCCAUUCGUGGGGGGAUUCGGUGAUCCUAUGCUGCCGAGAAAAGCAUCGACGCGAGGUUCCAGCCGCCCGUACCCCAAACCGACACAGGUGAUCAGGUAGAGAAUACUAAGGCGAUCGAGAGAAUCAUGGUUAAGGAACUCGGCAAAAUGCCCCCGUAACUUCGGGAGAAGGGGGGCCCCGACCGUGGACACCACUUGCUGGUGCGAGCGGGUAAGGGCCGCAGAGACCAGGGGGAAGCGACUGUUUAUCAAAAACACAGGUCCGUGCGAAGUCGCAAGACGAUGUAUACGGACUGACUCCUGCCCGGUGCUGGAAGGUUAAGAGGACCUGUUAGCCUCACGGCGAAGCGGAGAAUUUAAGCCCCAGUAAACGGCGGUGGUAACUAUAACCAUCCUAAGGUAGCGAAAUUCCUUGUCGGGUAAGUUCCGACCUGCACGAAUGGAGUAACGACUUCCCCGCUGUCUCAACCAUGAACUCGGCGAAAUUGCAGUACGAGUAAAGAUGCUCGUUACGCGCAGCAGGACGGAAAGACCCCGAGACCUUUACUAUAGUUUGGUAUUGGUGUUCGGUGUGGCUUGUGUAGGAUAGGUGGGAGACGGUGAAGCGGGCACGCCAGUGCACGUGGAGUCAACGUUGAAAUACCACUCUGGUCACUCUGGACAUCUAACUUCGGCCCGUGAUCCGGGUCAGGGACAGUGCCUGAUGGGUAGUUUAAC